rnacentral:rRNA from 1 species
CUGCAACCCGACUCCGUGAAGCUGGAUUCGCUAGUAAUCGCGCAUCAGCCAUGGCGCGGUGAAUACGUUCCCGGGCCUUGUACACACCGCCCGUCAAGCCAUGGGAGCCGGGGGCACUUGAAGUACGCCGCCGCGAGGAGCGUCCUAGAGUGAAACUGGUGACUGGGGCUAAGUCGUAACAAGGUAGC